UACGUAGGGUGCAAGCGUUGUCCGGAAUUAUUGGGCGUAAAGAGCUCGUAGGCGGUCUGUUGCGUCAGGAGUGAAAACUCGGGGCUUAACCCCGAGCCUGCUUCUGAUACGGGCAGACUAGAGGUAUGCAGGGGAGAACGGAAUUCACGGUGUAGCAGUGAAAUGCGUAGAUAUCGUGAGGAAGACCAGUUGCGAAGGCGGAUCUCUGGGCAGUUCCUGACACUGAGGCACGAAGGCCAGGGGAGCAAACGGG
rnacentral:rRNA from 1 species